CAACUGGGCAGUGUGGACUAGCUCUACCCGAGGCCACACCCAGCCAUUAAAGCUGCAGGACUGACUGGCAGAGCCCACCUCAGCCACAGCCGCCAGCCCCAGAUGCCUCAGCCCUCAGGCUGUUCAGACCUAACCGAGCUUGCUCUUCAGCACGCAAAUCCUUCCUCCGCCUUUCCGAAGGCGGGAUGCUUGCUAAGUGCAGACGGGUCCAGGCUGUGCCAGCAUCUCCAUGGAAACUAGGGCCACAGCUCCCCGCCUGGAUCCACAGCUUGCAUACUGGAAGGGCUCCCUUGCCGACCCCAAGAAAGUUGGUUGUGGCAGCGGCCCCACACACCCACCACCAGCGGUGGCAGCACUUAUGGAGGCUGCUCAGCCCUGAGACUUCAGACCCUGUUGGGAGUUGUUUGGGGAAGGCUAGGAACUGCCUUCUUUGGAGCUGGCGGGGAUGAUUUCUCUUGUGUUUAAACCUUUUCAGGAGUGAGCUACAUCUAUCACAACACAUGGCCCCUAGCAAAAGACAUCUGGUUCCUUACGACCUUGCAGAAGAUCCCUGGUUCCCCUAUUAGAACUUCUCGUCUCUCCUUCCCAGAUCCCAGGAAGGACUUUAACACCAAGAAGACACUACCCACCUUCUGGGAUUCUGGGGAGGCAUGAUCCCCUUUCUGGGAUUUUCUGGGCCCAUGUAUAAAUCCAGACCUCCCUCGACCCCAGCACGCAACCGCCAUUCCCGUGGGAAGGUUGUAUGUCCCUCAGAGCUAAUAAAGGUAUCUGCAUCUGUUAAA